rnacentral:SRP_RNA from 1 species
GCCGAGCUGAGUCACGUUAGCUUGUGACCCAAGUGGGGGCACUAAGGUGGUGGAACAGCUCAUUGGCUUUGCUGGGUUGGACUGUGGCUGCAAUAAGUUGGCCUGCCCACUCCAAGUUGAGAAUUGAAUCAUGGGACUUAAAGCGAAGGCAUAGGUCUCCUGGUUCUUAGAGUGGAGGGCACUGCGUGAGGCUGGUUUCACAGAACAGCGAACACCUCCCAUUCCCAACAGUGGAGGGAUAACAGGUUGCUGCAACCACAGUCCACCAUGGCCUGGUGAGCCUAGAUGCUUGGACCAUCACUUUU